CUCUUUCUGCAAGUAAAUGAACGCAAUGAGAUAUAUUGCUUCAAAAUCAUAAGCUAGGGGUUGAUCAUAUUGGAUACGACACAGUAUUACAUCACUUAAAAAUACAGAACAUAAAUCUAAUGAUUUGAACAAGGAGCUCACCGGACCAAGGUAUGUGAUGCACUGCUGUUGAAGCUUGUUUCUCGAGCACUCCUCAAGAUUCACUUCUCUUCCAUCUCCAACAUCCAACCUAAAGAUUUUUAUCCAAAUUAAAGUUUUUUAAAAAGAAAAAACAUCAAUAUCUUUUCGGUUCGUUAACUUUUAUUAUUUUCUGCUUACCAGUAAAAGAAUGGUUGGGUGCUUUCACUUGCAAACCAGAUAUCAUAAUACAAAUGUAAGUUGUGCCCAUACCUAUGUCUUGGAUCAAUCUGCAAAUGUCAACAUUGGAUCAGUCUAUGUUUCUAAAAGAUUUGUUCAGCAGAAGAUUGUGAAACUGAGACAUGGAUUCUUACAGCUUCUAGCCAAUGUCUCAAUGCUAGUUGCUGAGCUUUCUCAUCUUUGGAGAGACCCUUACCAACCUGAAAAGGAUGAAUUCAUGAUAGAUUAGAUUAACAUGGUGAUUAAAAUCCAAUAUUUGGGCUCUAAAGUGACAGUAAGAAACAAAUCUGCAUACUCUGGCUAGUCUUUUCUUUGCCCUUGCCCACUUAGAAACUGCAGGCUCCGGCUUCUCAACGUUGAAAAAUGACACAGAGCUGCUUCUGAGAGAUGCAAAAUCAAGUGCUCUCCACCUACAAUUUGAGGAGUUCAUGACUCUGAGUCAGCAGCCAACUUAAGAAAAGAAUUGAGAUUACUAACCAGAAUUCUUCCACAAGUACUGCACAAUCUGCAAGAUUCCUCCUUGUUCUGUAACUCUUGUAGACCUUUUGCAGCGUGGUUGCUGCUGCAUCGAGUUCGCAUAAUGGCCUCGGGGAUGAGAACUCGAGCAGCUGCCGCUGGGGGAGCUCGACAAUCGGCGCUGGAAAAUUUGCUUGAAUCUUGAGUUCUUCUACGGCCUGCUUAUCAGUAGCUGCUCCUUCGAUCUUUGUCACCUGGGGCUCCCAGUGCUUGAAGCUCAGUGAUCUCUCCAUCCCUGGUACUUCGCUGGAUACCAUCUUAUUAGACGAAUCACUUCUUUUGAAACUGAUCGAUUUUCUCAAGAUCUUGUUGGAUUCUCUGUCACCAAAACUCAUAGAUCUCGCUACUGCAACCUUUGUCUCGGCCAAGCAGAAGACUUUAUUACUCAUGACAAUUGCAGAACCUAGAAUUCACAGGAUAUUGGAGAGGAGGGAACAGAGGAUUCUCUAUAAAAUGUGAAGAACAGGACAAGAACAAGAUCAGAGAUUUGAGAACUCUACCUGACUACUAUUUGAUCCGAUCGACGAGAA